rnacentral:rRNA from 1 species
UACGGAAGGCAGCAGUGGGGAAUAUUGCACAAUGGGCGCAAGCCUGAUGCAGCCAUGCCGCGUGUAUGAAAAAGGCCUUCGGGUUGUAAAGUACUUUCAGUCGUGAGGAAGGUGUUAAGGUUAAUAACCUUAGCAAUUGACGUUAGCGACAGAAGAAGCACCGGCUAACUCCGUGCCAGCAGCCGCGGUAAUACGGAGGGUGCGAGCGUUAAUCGGAAUUACUGGGCGUAAAGGGCACGCAGGCGGUUAAUUAAGUUGGAUGUGAAAUCCCCGGGCUUAACCUGGGAAUGGCAUUCAAGACUGGUUAGCUAGAGUCUUGUAGAGGGGGUAGAAUUCCAUGUGUAGCGGUGAAAUGCGUAGAGAUGUGGAGGAAUACCGGUGGCGAAGGCGGCUCCCUGGACAAAGACUGACGCUCAUGUGCGAAAGCGUGGGGAGCGAAACAGGGAUUAGAUACC